UACGAAGGGGGCUAGCGUUGCUCGGAAUCACUGGGCGUAAAGGGCGCGUAGGCGGGCCCUUAAGUCAGGGGUGAAAGCCCAAGGCUCAACCUUGGAAUUGCCUUUGAUACUGAGGGCCUUGAGACCGGAAGAGGUCGGCGGAACUGCGAGUGUAGAGGUGAAAUUCGUAGAUAUUCGCAAGAACACCAGUGGCGAAGGCGGCCGACUGGUCCGGUUCUGACGCUGAGGUGCGAAAGCGUGGGGAGCAAACAGG
rnacentral:rRNA from 1 species